GACGAACCGUGCGAACGGUGUUCGGAAUCACUGGGCUUAAAGGGUGCGUAGGCGGGCUGUCCAGUCUGGGGUGAAAUCCCACGGCUCAACCGUGGAAAUGCCUCAGAUACUGACGACCUCGAGGGAGGUAGGGGCGAGCGGAACUGUGGGUGGAGCGGUGAAAUGCGUUGAUAUCCACAGGAACUUCGGUGGCGAAAGCGGCUCGCUGGACCUCUUCUGACGCUGAGGCACGAAAGCUAGGGGAGCAAACGGG
rnacentral:rRNA from 1 species